AUAACAAUACAGGACUCUUUCGAGGCCCUGUAAUUGGAAUGAGUACACUUUAAAUCCUUUAAUGAGGAUUUAUUGGAGGGCAAGACCCAUGCAUGCUGCAGCUGAAACUCCAC